CACGUAGGGGGCAAGCGUUGUCCGGAUUUAUUGGGCGUAAAGAGCUCGUAGGUGGUUCGGUAAGUCGGGUGUUAAACCCCCAGGCUCAACCUGGGGACGCCACUCGAUACUGCUGUGACUAGAGUCCGGUAGGGGAGCGUGGAAUUCCUGGUGUAGCGGUGAAAUGCGCAGAUAUCAGGAGGAACACCAGCGGCGAAGGCGGCGCUCUGGGCCGGUACUGACACUGUGGAGCGAAAGCGUGGGUAGCAAACAGG
rnacentral:rRNA from 1 species